rnacentral:rRNA from 1 species
UACGUAGGGGGCAAGCGUUGUCCGGAUUUAUUGGGCGUAAAGAGCGUGUAGGCGGCCUUACAGGUCAGCUGUGAAAACUCGAGGCUCAACCUCGAGAGGUCGGUUGAAACCGUAAGGCUAGAGUCCGGAAGAGGAGAGUGGAAUUCCCGGUGUAGCGGUGAAAUGCGCAGAUAUCGGGAAGAACACCCGUGGCGAAGGCGGCUCUCUGGGACGGUACUGACG